AGUGAACGCUGGCGGUAGGCCUAACACAUGCAGGUCGAACGGCAGCACAGUAAGAGCUUGCUCUUACGGGUGGCGAGUGGCGGACGGGUGAGGAAUACAUCGGAAUCUACUUUUUCGUGGGGGAUAACGUAGGGAAACUUACGCUAAUACCGCAUACGACCUACGGGUGAAAGCAGGGGAUCUUCGGACCUUGCGCGAUUGAAUGAGCCGAUGUCGGAUUAGCUAGUUGGCGGGGUAAAGGCCCACCAAGGCGACGAUCCGUAGCUGGUCUGAUAGGAUGAUCAGCCAAACUGGAACUGAGACACGGUCCAGACUCCUACGGGAGGCAGCAGUGGGGAAUAUUGGACAAUGGGCGCAAGCCUGAUCCAGCCAUACCGCGUGGGUGAAGAAGGCCUUCGGGUUGUAAAGCCCUUUUGUUGGGAAAGAAAAGCAGCAGGUUAAUACCCCGCUGUUCUGACGGUACCCAAAGAAUAAGCACCGGCUAACUUCGUG
rnacentral:rRNA from 1 species